rnacentral:lncRNA from 1 species
GGAUUAAUCGCCGUUUAAAUAUUUAUAUGAAAUUAUUAAAUUUCAUUUAUUUUGCACACAGCAGAUGUACUACAUAUGUAUGUAUGUACAUAUGUAUGUAUGUAUGUAUGUAUAUGUUCAUCCUAUCUAGACCCAUGCGGGUGUUACUGUUACUAAUUGAAAUGCUUUGAUGACGUGGCCGUUGACAUUUUUUAGAUUUUUAAUUAAAUUGCUGUCAAACAUUUUUUUGCUGAUAUUUUUCAUUUACAGUUGGUUGAGUUUUAUGAGGGAUUUUCAGCACCCGCAAAUGGUGGCCAGCUGCCCGUUCUCCCCUAAGAGCAAGUGUCAAAUUAUUACAUGCUAACUAAUUUUCUGUACUGGCUGUUUGUUUUUGUUUAUAUUUUUAUUUUUGGUGUGGUUCUGUUUGUGUCUAAAGCCUUACUAUAUUUUCGUUUUUGUGAAUGUGUGUUUUUGCUUUUUCUGAGAGUGUUCUUUUCAACCACAAAAUUGAAAUGUUUUAAUUGAAACUAAAUGUUGCCCCUGUGUAUUGCUGGCAAAUAAAACAAGGGCCAGCACAAGAGCAAACACACAAGUUGGUCGAAAGCAAUAACAGCGACGUCCACACACACACACACACACACACACACACGAAUAAUAAUUACAUCGAAUGCACUCUCAAUCCGAGACUCCGUCACAAUGCAGUCGGUAUGUUCGGGAAAUCCGCUUAGCAGCCUCCACUGCUGCGUUUAUGGGCGACCGUAGGCCGGCGUUCCUGCUUAUCCCAUUUGUUCCAUUCUCCAUUUUGCCCGCCGUUGCAUGCAUAACUGUAUCGAAUUGCAAUCGAAUGGUGAUUAACGGAGAGAGUCCAGGACCCACACUCCAGGGGGAAUGAAAAGCUUCACCAAAUUUAAUUGCAUAUCUUCACGGCCCUUUUUGUGGCGUUAUAAUUUUGGUGUGGUCUUUUUUAGAAUUUCCCCAUUGCAAAGCGUUUAAAAAAGGCCAGAAGCUUAAGCCCUCCGUGCGGUCAACAAAAAGCUGGCCGCAAUGGGAAAAAUAAAUACGGGCUCAGGCUGUUUGGAUGAAACAGGACCUCGAGGACGGGACAGGAGUCGACUGCUGUCCUUUGGGUCCUUUCAGACACACACACACAAACAGAGCACAUAAAAAUGCAUUAAAUAAAAUUUGUCAUAUAAAUCUUGCAA